CUUAAGCAAGCAAACACACCUGAGAAGGAACCAGUGAUGUAGUACCAAGUUUCAACCUUCCUUCCACAGUGGGUGAGGGCAGGGGGGAUGGGCAGGGAGUGGGUGCAUGGAGGCCUCCUUUAGCUUGUUAGACAGCUGCAGCCUGGCAGACAGCACGGUGUGGAAAGAGGUAGGGUGAAUGCAGAUUGCGGUAGAGACAAAUGUAGCGAGAGAGGGGGGUGUGGGCUCAUUUCUUAGAAAUAUGAAAUACGCAAAUGCUAGAGAAAAAAGUUAGCUCCAUGCAGAGAGAGGACGCUGCUGGGAGCUGCUGGGCGGGCGCUGACAGGCAGGAUCUCUCACUGAACCUGGAACCAGGCUGCCGUGUCCAGCAAGCCUCACCCAUCGCCUUUCUCCAUCUGUCCCCCAACCCCCCACAGCACUGUGCAAGCGUGUGCAGCCGUACCUGGCUUUUUCUGUGGACGCUGGAAUCUGAACCCAGCAUCCUUUGCAUGCACAGCUGUAGUCUCCCCUCUCCUAGCCUGAAACCUGCUUGCUCAGGGGUGGAGCUUCCUGCUCAUUCGUUCUGCC
rnacentral:lncRNA from 1 species